UUAGGAUUACACCCACCGUGUAUGCAAUCUCACAAAUAAGGAAAUAAAUUGGCAUUUUUAUAGUCUCUCAAAACAGUGUGUUUUGAUGAAUUAUUUUUACAUUUUUUUUAACAAUUAUUUUGGCCCGUAUCAAACCGAUUUGGAGCUUGUUUUCGGCCAAUUUUGUACUGAAUCGAAAACCCAAAAAAAAAAAAAAAAAAAAAAAAGUUCAGCCACGGACGUACCCACAUCCAUGGCUACACGGUGCGUAUCCGACUCGAGUGCAUCGACCCAAUCAGCACACCCGUGCUUCGUAGACAAGAGCACAACCACAUGAUCAGAUUUUUAUUACUACAAGAGCCAAUUUUAAGUGGAUAGCCUUGCCUCCUUGUGCCCCUGCCCUUGCCCGUGCCCCUACUGCCUCCCCUGUUGCUGCCGCUGCCCCCACUCCCACUGCUACCCCCUAUUACUGCCGCUGCCAUUGCCACUGCCUUGCCCCUGCUGAUUAGCUUAUUAGGGAAUUGGGGACAGAUGGUUUUUUAUGAAUAAAUUUGUGUAGUAGUUUGUUUGGGAUUGAUAUUUCUCAUAUUACUUGUUUGAUAUCACGUUAUGACUAAUAUGCUAUUAUGCUCACUGAAACAAUAUAGCUAUUGAGUUAUUUAUU